rnacentral:rRNA from 1 species
ACGCUGGCGGCGUGCUUAACACAUGCAAGUCGAACGAGCCUUCGGGCUAGUGGCGGACGGGUGAGUAACGCGUGAGAAUCUGCCCUCAGGAGGGGGAUAACGGCUGGAAACGGCCGCUAAUACCCCAUAUGCCGCGAGGUGAAAUGAGAAAUCGCCUGAGGAUGAGCUCGCGUCUGAUUAGCUAGUUGGUGGGGUAAGAGCCUACCAAGGCAUCGAUCAGUAGCUGGUCUGAGAGGAUGAUCAGCCACACUGGGACUGAGACACGGCCCAGACUCCUACGGGAGGCAGCAGUGGGGAAUUUUCCGCAAUGGGCGCAAGCCUGACGGAGCAACGCCGCGUGAGGGAUGAAGGCCUCUGGGCUGUAAACCUCUUUUCUCAAGGAAGAAGAACUGACGGUACUUGAGGAAUAAGCCACGGCUAAUUCCGUGCCAGCAGCCGCGGUAAUACGGGAGUGGCAAGCGUUAUCCGGAAUUAUUGGGCGUAAAGCGUCCGCAGGCGGUCUUGAAAGUCUGUUGUUAAAGCGUGGAGCUCAACUCCAUUUCAGCAAUGGAAACUAGAAGACUAGAGUGUGGUAGGGGCAGAGGGAAUUCCCGGUGUAGCGGUGAAAUGCGUAGAUAUCGGGAAGAACACCAGUGGCGAAGGCGCUCUGCUGGGCCAUAACUGACGCUCAUGGACGAAAGCCAGGGGAGCGAAAGGGAUUAGAUACCCCUGUAGUCCUGGCCGUAAACGAUGAACACUAGGUGUCGGGGGAAUCGACCCCCUCGGUGUCGUAGCCAACGCGUUAAGUGUUCCGCCUGGGGAGUACGCACGCAAGUGUGAAACUCAAAGGAAUUGACGGGGGCCCGCACAAGCGGUGGAGUAUGUGGUUUAAUUCGAUGCAACGCGAAGAACCUUACCAGGGUUUGACAUCCUGCGAAUCUUUUGGAAACAGAAGAGUGCCUUCGGGAGCGCAGAGACAGGUGGUGCAUGGCUGUCGUCAGCUCGUGUCGUGAGAUGUUGGGUUAAGUCCCGCAACGAGCGCAACCCACGUCUUUAGUUGCCAGCAUUGAGUUGGGCACUCUAGAGAGACCGCCGGUGAUAAACCGGAGGAAGGUGUGGAUGACGUCAAGUCAUCAUGCCCCUUACAUCCUGGGCUACACACGUACUACAAUGCUACGGACAGAGGGCAGCAAACUCGCGAGAGCUAGCAAAUCCCAUAAACCGUGGCUCAGUUCAGAUCGUAGGCUGCAACUCGCCUACGUGAAGGAGGAAUCGCUAGUAAUCGCAGGUCAGCAUACUGCGGUGAAUACGUUCCCGGGCCUUGUACACACCGCCCGUCACACCAUGGAAGUUGGCCAUGCCCGAAGU